rnacentral:rRNA from 1 species
UGGCGAACGGGUGAGUAACACGUGGGUAACCUGCCCAUCAGAAGGGGAUAACACUUGGAAACAGGUGCUAAUACCGUAUAACACUAUUUUCCGCAUGGAAGAAAGUUGAAAGGCGCUUUUGCGUCACUGAUGGAUGGACCCGCGGUGCAUUAGCUAGUUGGUGAGGUAACGGCUCACCAAGGCAACGAUGCAUAGCCGACCUGAGAGGGUGAUCGGCCACACUGGGACUGAGACACGGCCCAGACUCCUACGGGAGGCAGCAGUAGGGAAUCUUCGGCAAUGGACGAAAGUCUGACCGAGCAACGCCGCGUGAGUGAAGAAGGUUUUCGGAUCGUAAAACUCUGUUGUUAGAGAAGAACAAGGAUGAGAGAAAA